CAGCUAGUUGGUGAGGUAAAGGCUCACCAAGGCAUCGAUCAGUAGCUGGUCUGAGAGGACGACCAGCCACACUGGGACUGAGACACGGCCCAGACUCCUACGGGAGGCAGCAGUGGGGAAUUUUGGACAAUGGGCGCAAGCCUGAUCCAGCAAUGCCGCGUGAGUGAAGAAGGCCUUCGGGUUGUAAAGCUCUUUUGUCAGGGAAGAAACGGCUCUGGUUAAUACCUGGGGCUAAUGACGGUACCUGAAGAAUAAGCACCGGCUAACUACGUGCCAGCAGCCGCGGUAAUACGUAGGGUGCAAGCGUUAAUCGGAAUUACUGGGCGUAAAGCGUGCGCAGGCGGUUGUGUAAGACAGGUGUGAAAUCCCCGGGCUUAACCUGGGAAUGGCAUUUGUGACUGCACGGCUAGAGUGUGUCAGAGGGGGGUAGAAUUCCACGUGUAGCAGUGAAAUGCGUAGAGAUGUGGAGGAAUACCGAUGGCGAAAGCAGCCCCCUGGGAUAACACUGACGC
rnacentral:rRNA from 1 species